rnacentral:rRNA from 1 species
UACGGGGGGGGCAAGCGUUGUUCGGAAUUACUGGGCGUAAAGGGCGCGUAGGCGGCCUGCUAAGUCGGAUGUGAAAUCCCUCGGCUCAACCGAGGAACUGCAUCCGAUACUGGCGGGCUUGAAUCCGGGAGAGGGAUGUGGAAUUCCAGGUGUAGCGGUGAAAUGCGUAGAUAUCUGGAGGAACACCGGUGGCGAAGGCGGCAUCCUGGACCGGUAUUGACGCUGAGGCGCGAAAGCGUGGGGAGCAAACAGG